rnacentral:lncRNA from 1 species
UCCCGCAACGAGGGUUCUCUCUCUUUUCUCUCCUGGAACCGACACAUCCCCUGGAUGAUCGCGUCUCCUCCCGUUGUAUAAAAUGGCAGAUCCCUAUCAUCAUUGAAUCAAGAAUCUCACUUUCUUCAAACACGUUAUCGGCACUUGCCGAAGCAGAAAGAAUAAAGCGAAAGAGAACUUGCCGUUGGUAAGAUGCCAGGCCUCGUUGCCUUCUUCCUUCCCUCAUCCGCGAGGACGGUCACCGCUACCGUCACCGCCACGGAGUAGGGGGACUCCGGCGCUUCCGCCGGAGGAUGCAGG